UUAAGAUACAGCACCCCCCCCCAUCAGUAACAGCAGUAGAUCACCCUAGGUGUUGGGCCUUAAGGUACAGCACCCCCAUCAGUACAGACAGCAGUAGAUCACCCUAGGUGAUGGGCCUUAAGAUACAGCACCCCUCCCCCAUCAGUUGUCAGCAGUUGAUCACCCUAGGUGUUGGGCCUUAAGAUACAGCACCCCCAUCAGUACAGACAGCAGUAGAUCACCCUAGGUGUUGGGCAUUAAGAUACAGCACCCCCCCUCCCCCAUCAACAGCAGUAGAUCACCCUAGGUGUUGGGCCUUAAGGUACAGCACCCCCAUCAGUACAGACAGCAGUAGAUCACCCUAGGUGUUGGGCCUUAAGGUACAGCACCCCCCCCAUCAGUACAGACAGCAGUAGAUCACCCUAGGUGAUGGGCCUUAAGGUACAGCACCCCCAUCAGUACAGACAGCAGUAGAUCACCCUAGGUGUUGGGCCUUAAGGUACAGCACCCCCAUCAGUACAGACAGCAGUAGAUCACCCUAGGUGUUGGGCCUUAAGGUACAGCACCCCCAUCAGUACAGACAGCAGUAGAUCCAGAUCCACUGAGAAAAGACAAAACUCUCAUGAGCAGAUUUGUCUCUCCCCCUCUGGUCAAACAAAGUUACAGUUCUGGGAUAGAUUCAUCUUUCAGUCGUAAGGUUAUUAAAUGAGGUUAAACAACACUGAUCUAGGUCACUCAGAAAAAAGGCAAUUAACUGUGAGAAGGAUGGUCCCUGAAGGACAACAGAGAGACAGAGACAGGAACUUAGAGGUUGGGAGAUACAACUGGGUCACUUGACAGAGACAGUGUAUGUCCUUUAUUCAGAUACCAAUGGCCACUGGUAAAAAAUAAAUUACAAAUCAACAUCCUGAAACCGGGCGUAGUGUAGUGUUAUGUAGUGUUAUGUAGUGUGUUAUGUAGUGUGUUAUGUAGUGUGUUAUGUAAU
ensembl:lncRNA